AACGCUAGCUACAGGCUUAACACAUGCAAGUCGCGGGGCAGCAUGUAUCUGGCUUGCCAGAUACGAUGGCGACCGGCGCACGGGUGAGUAACGCGUAUCCAACCUGCCCACCACUUGGGGAUAACCUUGCGAAAGUAAGACUAAUACCCGAUGAUAUCUCUAGACGACAUCUGAAAGGGAUUAAAGAUUUAUCGGUGAUGGAUGGGGAUGCGUCUGAUUAGCUUGUUGGCGGGGUAACGGCCCACCAAGGCAACGAUCAGUAGGGGUUCUGAGAGGAAGGUCCCCCACAUUGGAACUGAGACACGGUCCAAACUCCUACGGGAGGCAGCAGUGAGGAAUAUUGGUCAAUGGGCGAGAGCCUGAACCAGCCAAGUAGCGUGCAGGACGACGGCCCUAUGGGUUGUAAACUGCUUUUAUAAGGGAAUAAAGUGAGUCUCGUGAGACUUCUUGCAUGUACCUUAUGAAUAAGGACCGGCUAAUUCCGUGCCAGCAGCCGCGGUAAUACGGAAGGUCCGGGCGUUAUCCGGAUUUAUUGGGUUUAAAGGGAGCGUAGGCCGGAGAUUAAGCGUGUUGUGAAAUGUAGACGCUCAACGUCUGCACUGCAGCGCGAACUGGUUUCCUUGAGUACGCACAAAGUGGGCGGAAUUCGUGGUGUAGCGGUGAAAUGCUUAGAUAUCACGAAGAACUCCGAUUG
rnacentral:rRNA from 1 species